ACAGCAAAUUUGUAUAAUCUGAAAGAUUUGGUCAUGUACCCUUAAAGUAACUCUCGAGUUCCUGAUUCAUCUUAAUCAAGCUAAACUCUCUUAUUUUAAGCUCCUGAUUAGUUGUUGAUUUACUUUUGUUGCGUUUUUGCCGCUUUGGAGUUUGUAUAAUCUGAAAGAUUUGCGUUUUUGUUGAUUUACAACUUGGUCCCUUCUUACUUCUUAGCUUCGAGACUCGAGAUUCUUAUGUGGUUUUUGUCUUCCCUUUUAGAUUCAUGUGCAAGAUUUCUUCUUCUAAAGCUUACAUGCGUGUUAUUUUUGUGUGAAACCAUAUUAUUAAGGCGGACAAGCAACUAGAUAAGGAGUUGAAUAUGACCACACCAUCCCCACGAUCAACAUCCUCCCAAGCAUCAACCACUCGUACCUAUGUUGUUACCGACAAGGAUCGUGAGAAGGUAACAUCUACUUGGAUGCGUGUUAUGAGAAAAAAAGCUAUGGGAAUGCAAAAGACAGGUGAUACCAUCUCCAUAACUAUCCCGGAAAGCGUGUUUCUUAACGAAAAUGGGUUGGAUGUUUCACUUGACUUUGAAGACUUGCUUGAUUGGUGUUUCCAAAGGGAGGUCGGAGAACCGCAAAUGAAGGUUUUCAUGAAGUAAGUUUCCAUAUAAUAUAGGUUCUAAUUUUAAUAUUGUUUUUUCGGCCCAUUAACUAAUAUUCAUAUGAAUUUUCAUGGGAAAAGACACCUAAAAGAACGUUGUCAAAAAGAAGGUGUAUCGGGAAUGUAUGGGUUCUGUGACUGUAAUGUUCUUUCACCAUUGACACCGACAACGGAUGAGCAAGUUCGAUCUGACUACUUAGCCCAUGUUUUUGGAACCAAUGAGGGGAAAAAUGUUAAUUAAUUAUUCUUUGCUCCUUAUAAUGACAAGUAAGUGUAGUUUCUUUUUAUUUUUUUUAUAGAUCUGAGUUAUGUUAAAUCCUCAAAUUUUAAUUAAUCCCAUUACUAUGUAUUUAUUUUACAAUAUGUCUAGUCUGCAUUGGACGUUAGCGGUGAUUAGUCCAUGGAAUGGGUUGGUGUAUUGGUUAGAUCCACUUGGAGCAGAAAACGAAAUCAACUCAUUUGCACAAAAAAUCAUCAAUGAGGGAAUAGUUAAAUUCAGCAUGAAGCAUCGAAAAGAUAUCAAGAAAAUAAAAAAGAAUCCAAAAAUAGGGUGGAAGCAACCACGUGUAAGUCAUUAUUAUUUUUAGCAUAUUUCAUACCUAGUAGUGUAAAAUCAGAUCCAAAACUGUGCUAAUGGUUAUUUUUUUUGUAUCAGUGUCCUCUACAAUCUACAUACACAAAGCAUUGUGGUUACUUUGUAUGUCGCUAUAUGCUGGACAUUAUACAGAACAGAGUAUUAUGGAUUUCUGAGCAGAUUUUUCCCAAAGAUCCUUGCACAUAUUCUUCAGAAGAAAUUGACGAGAUUAGAGACUUAUGGAUUCAAUAUGUUCUUGAUCAUGAGGAGCCGGAAGAACCUUAG